GGGGACGUUAGGCUUUCGACAGAAGUUUAUAAGUGCUGUUUAUCACAAAUCGUUUUUAAGUUCGUAAAACUUAAACACAGAUAAGUGUAGAAAACAAACUUAACGCUUUUGCAAGUAAGCUAAGGAACGCUUUAAGCGUACCCUUAUAUGCUUACAAUUUUGCAUAAGUUUGAGUAAUUAGUUUUACUCAAUGUCUAUUUCUCUUAUCCCUAGUUAGGGGAUAUAGACAGUCGUUACUAGGGUAUAGUAUGUAUUCUUUGUCAGUAGAGAAUCCAUAGCGAAUAUAAUUACUGAGUAGAUUAUACUUUUUGUUAGAUUUUUUAGUUUAAUCUAGCUAUAUAAAUCUAAAUAUAUUUGUAAAUGAUACUGUGCUUAGCUUUUGGACGUGGGUUCAAAUCCCACCGUCUCCACCA
rnacentral:tmRNA from 1 species